rnacentral:snRNA from 1 species
AUACCUUUCUCGGCCUUCUGGCUAAGAUCAAGUGUAGUAUCUGUUCUUAUCAGUUUAAUAUCUGAUAUGUGGGUCAUUGGCCCACUUGAUAUUAAUCUUAUUUUUUAUGGGGGAAGACCCAUCACAAUAGCUUGAUAUGUCGGUUAAUAUUUCCAAAUUGGAUAUUGGAUGUGCAUUAAGAAUUAGAGCUAGAU